rnacentral:rRNA from 1 species
AGGACGAACGCUGGCGGCGUGCUUAACACAUGCAAGUCGAGCGGAAAGGCCCUUCGGGGUACUCGAGCGGCGAACGGGUGAGUAACACGUGAGUAAUCUGCCCCUAGCUCUGGGAUAGCUCCGGGAAAACCGGGAUUAAUACCAGAUACGACCACUUUAGACAUCUGCUGUGGUGGAAAGAAUUUCGGCUAGGGAUGAGCUCGCGGCCUAUCAGCUUUGUUGGUGAGGUAACGGCUCACCAAGGCGACGACGGGUA